UAUGAUGAGGAUUGAAUGAGAUAAUACAGACAAAGGGUUAGAACAGUGCCUGACACGCAUCGAGCCCCCAGUGAAUGAAGCCGUGCUUGGGAUUACUGUUGCCAUGUUCAGUGUUACGCAGGACGCCUUGGCAGUUCUGGCCUCCACAGUAGCCGCCUUAGAAGUCACUGGAAUGACCCAUGGCUUAGAUAAGACUUUCAUCACCAGCACCUGCAGCACGCUUAGCCUUUAGCUUCCAGAACAAACACCGGUAUUGCUUAGGGUACCCAGCAGCGGCGCAGAUGCCCUGGCCGUCCACUUAGAGCCCUUUCCAUCUGCUGACGGGACUCUUCUCAGCUUCUUCUGACAUUCUUGGUUACACAACAGAGUACGCAGCUGAGGUUACCAGGUGCGCCUUAACAUACGGGUCUUCAGAAUCACUGGACGAGGGGUAGAAGCACCAGGAGGGGAGAUUAGGUGGUACUUUGUUCUGCUUAAUUCCAAGUUCUUGGUUCAGAUCCAACUUUUCUUUAUGUUUCCACCAUUUACCUUCAACUAAGAAUGUAAUCCAACAGAAACAUCCUUAUUUUUGGUUCCUCAUUCAUUUGCUCAUCCAUUCAGCAAACAUGUGCGUGCUGAUUAUCUCUACUAAGUAAUGCAAUAAUGCAUUGUGUUUAUACAGCUGAAAGAUCUAUCCUGGUGAUUUUGUUUUUAAACUAAGAACUGUCUGCUCUAAAGGGGAAUUGAAGUGUUUAUCUGCAGAGACAGACAGCUUCGUGCAACUCUGGGGCAGUUGAUUCUGUGUUAUCUUCAUCAUACUUGGCCUUUGUAAAUAAAAGAAACCCAGGUGCCGUGGAGGAAGAGAGAGGCAGACACAGCGAGGCUGCAGUGUUAGGUAUUGUUUAUCACUCCAACCCAGAUGCUUGAGAGUGAAGGGGGAGCAGCUAAUCAUUACACCCAGACAGAAGGCACAAGCUGGGACCGUCCCAAGCACAGAGGGCAUAUGGUCGCCCUGUACAUAAAAGACAAAGGGUUUAUGUUCCUAACAUACAAAUAGGCCCUGGAAGUUAGAAAUAGCAACAAUUAAGAAUAAACAACCAUGUAGAAAAAUAGAUCAGCAACCAGCACCCUCAUCAAUCAGCAGCCAUCAACAUAGAGACAAGAUCCUUCAUGAGCAAAGGAAUUACUACUCGCUGACAUCUCAGGUGAUUGCUAGCCUUUUUUAGCAAUAAAGUAUUUUUAAAUUAAAAAAAUGAAAAAUAGAUCAGAAAAUUAAUCAGAAAAAGACAAAUGGCUAAUAAACAAAUGACUAGUGAUCAGAGAAAUGCAAGAUAAAAAUCAGAAAACAUUUUUACCUGUAGACUGGCAAAAAGUUAAAAGCUGCUCAGUAUUGGCAAGGUUUAUUAGUUCAUUUUCACAUUGCUAUAAAGAAGUUUCCAAGACUGAGUAAUUCAUAAAGGAAUGAGAUUUAAUUGACUCACAGUUCCACAUGGCUGGGGAAGCCUCAGGAACUUACAAUCAUGGUGAAAGUGGAAGCAGGCACUUCUUACAUGGCAGCAGGCAAGACAGAGAGAGAAAGAGAGAGAGAGACAGCAGGAAAAACUACCAUUUGUAAAACCAUCAAAUCUCUUGAGAAUUCACUCACUACCACAAAAACAGCAUGAAGGAAAGUGCCCCCAUAGUCCAACCCCACUUCCCUCCCUUGAUUACAAUUCAAGAUAAGAUUUGGGUGGGGACACAGAGCCCAGCCAUAUCACAAGGGUUCAAGGCUGUGUAAUGGGGAAGUAAAUAGGAACAAAAUAUUUGAAGGGAAAUUUCACAGCAUCUGUUAAAACUGAGUUAUGCAAAUGAUGUAAGUUCAGAAAUUUCCCUUCUAGAGCUCUAGCAGUAGAGAUAAUGAGUCAAGUUCCACAAGGAUCUAUGGACAAGUAUCUAUGCCUUGGCAAUGCUGAUUAGAGUGAACAACUGGAAUCAACUUAAAUGCUCUCAGAAGGAGAUGUUUAAAUAGUUUAAAAUCCAUUCCAUAAAAUUGCAUGCUGCUAAUAAGAGGAAAGAGAUUGUCACACAAAGAAUGACAUAGGUAGUUUGCAUCCGACAAACCAUGCCUCUUCUGAGUCUCUCAGCCUUUCUGUCCCUAGAAACAUUGGCCAUUUGCUCACCGUGGAGACCUUCCUGACUGCAUGCCCGGAGCCUCAGGUUCCUCUCGCCCUUUCUGGACACUCCCCAGUUGGAGGACAUGGGAGCUGCUUCCUGUAGGAGUUGCCAAAGUGUCCAAGCAACACAGCUCAGAGACCAGGCGACAUGACUCAUGACUCCUGCAGCUCCAGCUGCAUCUGAUGGGAGAUUGGAGAUCACAAAUCAGAAGGGGACUCAAGGGCUGUUGGCAACAGGAUGGGACUGGGGACAGCCCAUGUGCCUGCCUCUGUCAUGAUAGGCACCCAGAAAUAUUUCCUGGAUGGCCAGUGACCAAGUGGGGGAUGUCAUCUCUUCACACGCUUCCAGCACACACGUGUGAUGAAGCAGGAUCCAGGCUGUGGCGAGGCACCAGGAUAGGACAAGCAAGGAGGCGGCUCCUCUCUGCCGGGAAUCUGGCCUGCGGGAGGAAAGCAGCCUGACAGUGCCCACUCUGGUGGCCACUGUGACAAGGGCUCUGCAGCCCGGAGGAACUCUGGGAGGUUUGAUGUGAAGAGGAGAGCCAGGGAUGACCCUUUGGUGAGGUCUGAGGGAUGAACUGGAAGACACCUAUGAUUUUAAAUGAAAAACUUGCCUGAGAGAAGACACAGAAAAAAAUACGAAGAGCUAGGUUCUGAUGAGGAAAUUACUUCUGUGGACCCAGCGCUUUUGACUUCAUCUUCCUUCUGUUCCUGAACUUGGGAACGUGGAGAACAAUGAGGAAAAAAGGGUGUCAAAGCACUCAGAAAAAUUAAGUGUCGAAUACGUGGAAAUAGUAAUAAAAAAACCACUUUUCAUGUUAUGUGACCAUUUGUCUUGAAGACUACAAACGUAGACUGGCACUACCAUACCUAACGCACGAUCUCAGCCGUUUAUUCUUCCCUGAGAAAACUGGGGCAAGAAGAGAAAGUAACAUUUAUUGAGAGCUUAUCUUGUGCCAGGCACUAUUAGGUGUUUUUAUAAAUGCUCAGGGAAGCCAUUCUUCAGGUAUGAAUCUUACCAAGAUGUAUAAAGUCUGCAGGGCACUAUGUUUGGGUAUUAGGACUUGGAUCUAUUUCAUGCACCUUUUUCUUUGCAUAUUUUGACUACAUUUAGGGAUCAAUAUGCAAUCCCUCCUGUGACUAAUUUAUUGCUUACAAGCUCACCUCAGUCCAAGAGUAAAUAAAAUGGUGGAUUAGUGAGGACUAGGUCAGCUUAUUGCAUAAUAUACAUUAAGGCUAAAUUUUAGUAUCUUUAUUAAUAUUUUACAGCAUUAACACUUUUCAAAGAGAAUAUCCCUAGAAGGGUAUGCUAAAGUUACAUUAUUACAAAGAGAUGAUCUGAAACUCUGAGAAAGUGAACAUUCUUAGUAAAAGGUCUGUUUUAACAGGUAAAGUAGAAAAGGCAAGUUUAGAUUUAUAAUUGCUCCCUUCUCUCGUUUCUUUUUACCACCAGGAUAAAGGAAAUGUCUAUAAUUCAAGGAUAGGGAGAGUGCCAGGUCACCAAAUGAUUAUAUCUAAUUCAUUUAAACCAAUCUGCCGGAAAUCUUGCUUAGGUUAAGAUCACAGGUGGCUUUUAAAACUAGCCAAACAAACAUCUUUGAAUCUAUCUUGAGUUCCUAUUUACUCAGCCUUGCUCAUUCAGUUGAAAAGACGUGAACAAGGAAAUCUUCUGUAAAUUACACACCUUACCCUUAAUGAAAUGGUUUCAUUCCAUCACUUGCUCAAUAGAUCAGAAAAAUUCCAGGAAACGUUUAACCUCCAAAACUUAUUCUAAAGCAUGAAUAGGCCAGACGCCGUGGCUCACGUCUGCAAUCCCAGCAGUUUGGGAGGUCGAGGCGGGCAGAUCACUUGAGGUCAGGAGUUCGAGACCAGCCUGGCCAGCAUGGUGAAACUCCAUCUCUACUAAAAAUACAAAAAAAUUACCCAGGUGUGGUGGUGAAUGCCUGUAUUCCCAGCUACCUGGGAGGCUGAGGCAGGAGAAUGGCUUGAACCCAGGAGGCGGAGGUUGCAGUGAGCCAAGAUCGCACCACUGCACUCCAGCCUGGGCAACAGAGCAAGACUCUGUCUCAAAAAACGAAUAAACAUGAACUUAGACUAGUUCAGCAGGCAUUCCUAUACUUGAUCCACAUAAAUUGGGUUAAUCUCAGGCAAACCUCAAGUCUCUGUAAUGAGGGAAAUGUUUUUAUCAUGAGAUCUACCAGUUUUUCCAUACAUGGAUGUUUCAUGUUUUAAAUGUAGUAGAAACCUAUUGGUUUGGAUCUGUGUUAUAAAAUGGAUUGGUACAUAUAAGGUAAGGCCUUUCUCUGCUAGUACUGACAUGCGAUUUCACAACUACAAGUAAUGUGAAGCCUGCCUAGCAUUAAUGUUCCUGGUGCUCAACGCAUCUCUUCAGUUCUCAUCCCAUCGUGAUAACCUGUGAGUGCAAGUAACUCCAGCCACGCCGGCUGGCAGCAGGGAAGCUGCCCCUGUGACAGGCCAGGCAUGCCCGCUCCUCCUGCCUGAAAACCGGGUGCCUGUGGUGAGGAGGGGUAAGGUGGCAGGUUCAAUUCAGCUCGUGCUGCACUUAAAACUUUCUACCAUAAGAAAAACACAUACUGUUGACCCUUAAACAACACAGGGUUUGAACCUGUGGGUCCACUUAUAUACAUGGAGCUUUUCCAACCAAACAUGGUUUAUUUGCUGAAUGUGAAACCCACGUAUACGGAGGGCUGACUUUUAGUGUACGCAGGUUCCGUAGGGCCAAGUGCCAGACUUGAGUAUGCAGAUUUUCGCAUACGUGGGGUAUCCUGGAACCAAUGUCCUGUGUAUAUUGAAGGAUGAUUCAAAUACUUCCCAAGAGGUUGUGUCAAAAUUCAGUAAAAUUUGAAGAACUGCAAAAUAUUUCUCCAUUACAAAUUCUAACAUCCUACACAGAGACCACCACCCCAACUGUUUUUUAAAAAGCAAACAUAAAUACAACACUUGGUUUUGAACCUUUAAUAAAAGUAAAAAAUGAAUGCAAAAAGAACACAAUGUUGAAAACUUAGUAUGAAUGUGAACCUCACUAGAUGUUCAAAUCUGGUAGAGUGCAAAUUUUGUUCAUACUAUUUUACAUUUUUACAAACUCAAAUCACUUUGGUUCAUAUAUUUUCUAUAAACUAUUGGCAAAAAAAUCCUCAAAUUUACUUAUUGUGUGUGCGUGAUCAAGUCUGUUUUAAAGAUUCACUCGCU
rnacentral:lncRNA from 1 species